UCCCAUGUGGCUCAGUUGGUAGAGCAUGGCGCUUGAAAUGUCAUGGUUGUGGGUUCGGUUCCCAUGGGGAA
rnacentral:tRNA from 1 species